UACGGGAGGGGACUAGCGUUGUUCGGAAUUACUGGGCGUAAAGCGCACGUAGGCGGAUUUGUAAGUCAGGGGUGAAAUCCCGGGGCUCAACCUCGGAACUGCCUUUGAUACUGCAAAUCUCGAGUCCGGAAGAGGUGAGUGGAAUUCCUAGUGUAGAGGUGAAAUUCGUAGAUAUUAGGAAGAACACCAGUGGCGAAGGCGGCUCACUGGUCCGGUACUGACGCUGAGGUGCGAAAGCGUGGGGAGCAAACAGGG
rnacentral:rRNA from 1 species